rnacentral:rRNA from 1 species
UACGGAGGGAGCUAGCGUUGUUCGGAAUUACUGGGCGUAAAGCGCGCGCAGGCGGUCUUCCAAGUCAGUGGUGAAAGCCCGGAGCUCAACUCCGGAACUGCCAUUGAAACUGUUAGACUUGAGGACGAGAGAGGUGAGUGGAAUUCCCAGUGUAGAGGUGAAAUUCGUAGAUAUUGGGAAGAACACCGGUGGCGAAGGCGGCUCACUGGCUCGUAUCUGACGCUCAGGCGCGACAGCGUGGGGAUCAAACAGG